rnacentral:rRNA from 1 species
UACAGAGGUCCCAAGCGUUGUUCGGAUUCACUGGGCGUAAAGGGUGCGUAGGCGGUCGGGUAAGUCUGAUGUGAAAUCUCACAGCUUAACUGUGAAACUGCAUUGGAUACUAUCCGGCUAGAGGAAUGGAGGGGAGACUGGAAUACUUGGUGUAGCAGUGAAAUGCGUAGAUAUCAAGAGGAACACCAGUGGCGAAGGCGAGUCCCUGGACAAUACCUGACACUGAGGCACGAAAGCCAAGGGAGCAAACAGG